CAACAAACAGGUUAAUCAUCUUAACCCGACAACCUCGUCAAAAUUCAUAGGUAACGCGACUCAAUUCUGCCAUCAGCGGAAAUAUCCCUGUGUAUUGGUUCCAACUCUUAGCGUCAUGUUGUCGACCGCCAACACAAGCACUUCGAGUACGGAACUAACACCCCUCGGAUUCAUCUCCAGUCACACUAGAGAUCCAUACUAGAUC
rnacentral:lncRNA from 1 species